rnacentral:rRNA from 1 species
GCAUAACGCGAAGAACCUUACCCACCUUUGACAUGUACGGAAUCCUUUAGAGAUAGAGGAGUGCUCGAAAGAGAGCCGUAACACAGGUGCUGCAUGGCUGUCGUCAGCUCGUGUCGUGAGAUGUUGGGUUAAGUCCCGCAACGAGCGCAACCCUUGCCAUUAGUUGCUACAUUUAGUUGAGCACUCUAAUGGGACUGCCGGUGACAAACCGGAGGAAGGUGGGGAUGACGUCAAGCCCUCAUGGCCCUUAUAGGUGGGGCUACACACGUCAUACAAUGGCUGGUACAAAGGGUUGCCAACCCGCGAGGGGGAGCUAAUCCCAUAAAGCCAGUCGUAGUCCGGAUCGCAGUCUGCAACUCGACUGCGUGAAGUCGGAAUCGCUAGUAAUCGUGGAUCAGAAUGUCACGGUGAAUACGUUCCCGGGUCUUGUACACACCG